AACACCGACUCGCGCUUCCUUUCCCGAAUUCGGCGUGGACUCGGCCCUUCGUCAGUGCGCGAUCGUCCCACGCGACCCCCUCUCCCUCUCCCUCGACCACCGGAAGUGAGGUCCGAUCGCGUCGGGAGCCGUUCUGAGACAUCCGCGGAUACGUUAUUCCCGCGGUCGCCCUUCGGUCCGUGUCAGUGCGCGAGUUGGCAAGCGUUGGCCUGCCCGCGAGUACAGUAGGGCUGCCAUUUUCCGUGUGUACGGUGAUAAAGAAAGGUAGAGGGAGAGAGAAAGAGAGUGAGUGGAAGUCGCGAUAGAGGAGAGGGAUACGAGGAGGAAGAUUCGUGGAAUUUCGCGGUGCGAGAGACACGGAUUGUCCCCCUACACGGGGUCGCGGAAAGAAAGGGCCCAGGACCCCUUUCCUCGUGAGCGUCGAGAUCUGUCAUCGCGAUAAGUCCUCGAGCAGUCCCGACGACAACGUCAUUCACAGCUGCGUCUACGCCCGCCCGCAGGUGAAGGAGCGCAAGGUGGAGGAGGUGAAGGAGAAAGAGGAGGAGGAGGAGGCGGAGGAGGCCCACGGAGACGCGGGGGUGCUCGUUCGAAACUGGACCGACGAUCAAGAUCAACGCUGCGUUUUACUCCACUUGCGCGGUAAGAGCGCCGACAAAAAAUUGUAUAAGGUGGAUUGUCGCAACGUGACCUUGACGAGAAGGUAAUAUAAAUCUUCUAAUUAUCAGCUAAUAAUACUACUUGAUUGACUGAUUUUUCUUUAAAUAAUAUCAUUAGCUUCAUAUAUAAAAACCGUGUGUAUUAUAUAUACAAUGUAUUCAUGAACGAGUUUGGGGGAUAUAUAAGCUUUGCGAAUUAAAUUAUAAAGAACGCACAUAUUCAUUUAAAUUCUUGAAUGAAAUCUUUCCAAACGUGCUUUCUUUUGUAAUAAUAAAUUAAUUAUAAAUAUUCUAUAAAU